UACAGAGGUCUCGAGCGUUGUUCGGAUUCAUUGGGCGUAAAGGGUGCGUAGGUGGCGUGGUAAGUCUGGUGUGAAAUCCCGGGGCUCAACCCCGGAACUGCACUGGAUACUGCCAUGCUUGAGUACUGGAGAGGAGAUUGGAAUUUACGGUGUAGCAGUGAAAUGCGUAGAUAUCGUAAGGAAGACCAGUGGCGAAGGCGAAUCUCUGGACAGUUACUGACACUGAGGCACGAGGGCCAGGGGAGCAAACGGG
rnacentral:rRNA from 1 species